rnacentral:lncRNA from 1 species
GGGGAAGCUGUAGCCUGAAUCGUGGAAAUGAGGAGUGGGGAGAGGCUCAUGUUCUCCCGGCUUGUAGGCGGUACCCUGGAGGCUGUGGAGCCUUUAGAAGGGGGGGGUGCUUCCUGUUUUUGAUACCUGGCAGCAGCAGCACCCAGUAGCACGAUACAGCUCGCUGUCAGAGAGGCUGCUGUGAGGAUGUGAGCAAGCACUCCCAGUAUACCGUAUCACUGAUGGCUUUAGAUACAGACAUGCAAUAAACCACAGAAGACAGUCACCCUUUACUAUGAUGCAGACAUAGUAUGUCAUAUGACUGCCCACAUUUUAAACGGGCCAGGCCAUGUAACUCUUAGCCUUUAAUCCCAGUACUCGGGAGGUUCCAGGACAGCCAGGGCUACACAGAGAAACCCUGUCUCGAGA